rnacentral:lncRNA from 1 species
UUAGAAAGCACACGUUUUCCUCUUUCCACUCACUCCACGUUGCCUAAACCGCGGUUUCCUCUUCCCGGCGGCGCUGGCACUGCGGCAGCUGAGGCGCGCUCCGCUCCCGGGAACCUCGGGCCUUGGCGCGCCAUUUUCCGUCGCGCAGUUAGUUGCCGGGGCGUCCUGAGACCUUUUGAUCGGGUCCCUUUCGUCUCUAGGCCCCUCGGCGAUCUCCGAUCAGACUCACCCACCAGAGCACCGCCACAAAGGUCCGGGGAAGAAACCUCUCACCUCCCUGGAGUCUCAGCUCAGCGUUUGGGAAGGAACCGUUUAAAAACCCAGGAGCAGAAUAAUCUUGGGGAGAAGAGAAAAGCAGUUGUAACAUCCCCACGUGGCAAUAAAGAUGAAAACCUCGUGAAGUCCUGCUCGUCUCAUCAACAGGUGAUCGAAGGUGGGUAUGGCUGCUGCAUCUCCCUGGAGAAUCUUGUCACUUCAUCCUGGCAGCAGAACACUGCACUGCCACACGGUGCCAUGUGCCACCCCAACUGAGAAGAGGCUCUGCAGUAAAAAGGAGGCACGUGGAGUUGAGUAGCUGGAAGUAAUUUCCAUUUUAAUUUCCAUGCCUGUAUAACACAGUCUGUCACAUCAGUGUUGUCAUAUGUUCUUUGGCUGGCUUGGAAAGAGGAGGGAGCCUGAGGGGUGGGGCUGGCACUCCCGUUGCCAUUGGAGACAGAAUCUGGCUUUAGUUUUGUUGGAAGAGCAGUUCCAGUGGCUGUGAAUCCAGGCUGGGAGAAUGCUGGCAUCCCACCCUCUGGAGGGAGCCCUACUGGCGGAGUUUAAACGCGGGACUUCUGCCUGGGGGAAUCUUUUGAGUCUGAAAUAUUCAUAUUCUCGGGAAAAUAUUCAUAUUCUCGGUGGAAGAGGGCAGCUAUUCCGUAAAUCUGUAAAUGAGCAUCAUUGAACCCUGUGUACUUUUCCCAAGUUAGGAAUGAGGUUAAACUGUCGGGGCGGGGGGGUUUAACCGAUCUUUGGACUUGGCUGAAAGCGGGGAGCAGCAUUUCCCCUCCUCUUCCUUUGUAAACGUCGAGGAAAAUCCAGACUUGUUCUUUGAGCGCCCUCUGGUGGCAGUCAUCAAGAAUACUCCAGUUCUGUGGGUUUUGCGGGGAGUUAGGGACACCGAGGCUGCCUGGGCUUUCGGUAACAAGCAAUAGGAGAACAGAUGGUCUACCCUUUUAGUGGUGGGGCAAAGGGUCCGCUCCCUCCCUCUGCAAGGUGGCCGCCGUUCGGAAUCUGAGGAGUUGAAAUUCCUCCGGACGUCUGGCCCUGCUGAUGUGCACGUGUCCUGGGGUGCAGAGGACUGGGAAAUCUGCUCUGUGCUGCUUUGGCGCUCCUAUACUUGCUUACCCUUUUCUAGGUGGGCCUCAGUUUCCCAACCAGAUUGGCAGCUCCUCCAGCGCCAAGGUGGCACCUUAACCAUCUUUGAAGGGCGCCUCCGCUGCUGAUCCGAGUGCUUCCUGGAGGAACGCUAGAGCCGGGGCAGGUCACAAGG